rnacentral:rRNA from 1 species
GAUCAUUAAAAAAUGUACACCGGCUCCAAGUAUGAGAGUGCUUUGGGGUUGGCUGUUAACAACCACCUGUUUACCUUUACCUGUUGCUUCCGUGGAAUCAAGGGUGCUCUAACUGUUCGCAGGCUUGGGUUACCUUCCACGAGUGGAUAAUUAAAAUCGUUUUGUAUAGUUAGUCUGAAUAAAUGUUAUAAAAGUUUAAAACUUUCAACAACGGAUCUCUAGGUUCUCGCAUCGAUGAAGAACGCAGCGAAAUGCGAUAAGUAGUGUGAAUUGCAGAUUUCAGUGAAUCAUCGAAUCUUUGAACGCACAUUGCGCCCUUUGGCAUUCCGAAGGGCAUGCCUGUCUGAGCGUCAAUAAAUCAAUCAAAUCUCGGUUUGGUAUUGAGAGAAGUGGUUUUGAAAAGCCUCUCUCUUGUAAGGUAUUGGCGGUGCUAUUACAGCUUGUAAGACGUAGUAAGCAAUUUCUCGUUGAAGCAACUGUUUGGUGUCCUGCCAACUGAAUGAUUUAUUUUACAGCUUGACCUCAGAUCAGGUAGGGAUACCCCCUGAACUUAAGCAUAUCAAUAAGCGGAGGAAAAGGGCGAAUU